UACACAAAUACUUAGCAUUAUGUUCCAGUUGCCUACAGUAUUCAGUAUAGUACCAUGGUGUACAGAUUUGUAGCCUAGGAACAACAGGCUAUACCGUAUAGCCUAGGUGUGGAGCAGGGUGUACCAUGUAGGUGUGUAUACGUGCACUCUUUAAUAUUAAAACAAC